rnacentral:rRNA from 1 species
UACGUAGGGGGCAAGCGUUGUCCGGAAUCAUUGGGCGUAAAGCGCGCGUAGGCGGCCCGGUAAGUCCGCUCUGAAAGUCCAAGGCUCAACCUUGGAAUGCGGGUGGAUACUGCCGGGCUAGAGUCCGGAAGAGGCGAGUGGAAUUCCUGGUGUAGCGGUGGAAUGCGCAGAUAUCGGGAGGAACACCUAUGGCGAAGGCAGCUCGCUGGGACGUUACUGACGCUCAGGCACGAAAGCGUGGGGAGCAAACAGG